GGACGGGUGACAUUAAGGGGGGGUGGGCGACCCCAGGGGGGGCUGGGUGACCCCCGGGGGUGACGUUUUUUUUGGGGGGGGGGCGCAGGCGCCUGUGCGAGCAGCAGUACGGGAACGCGCCGCGGGUGCGCAUCAACGGGCACGUGGCCGCCCGCUUCCCCUUCAUCCCCCUGCCCCUCGACUACAUCCUGCCCGAGCUGCUCAAGAACGCCAUGAGGAUCUCGGACCGGGGCGGGGGCAUCCCCCACGAGCUGCUGGACAAGGUGACCCAGUACCACUUCAGCACGGCCGAGGCCAGCGCCCAGGACCCCCGCCUGGGGGGCCCCUUCCGCAACCUCCUGGACCUCAGCCACGGCCCCCAGGCCUGCCCCAUGCACGGUUUUGGCUUCGGGUUGCCCACCUCCCGCGCCUACGCCGAGUACCUGGGGGGCUCGCUCUGCCUGCAGUCGCUGCAGGGGGUGGGCACCGACGUCUACCUGCGCCUCCGACACAUCGACGGCAAGGGGGAGAGCUUCCGAAUUUAGGGGGGGGGCCCAAAAUCUGCCUCGGGGACUCCAAAUUCUCCUUGGGGACUCCAAAAUCCUACUCGGCGGCCUCAAAAUCCUACUCGGGGACUCCAAAUUCCUCCUCGAGGAGCCCAGAUUCUCCUUGGUGGCCUCAAAAUCCUACUCGGGGACCUCAAAAUCCUCCUUGGGGACUCCAAAUUCAUCCUCAGCGGCCUCAAAUUCUACUCAACGGCCUCAAAAUCCUCCUUGGGGACUCCAAAAUCCUCCUCGGCGGCCUCAA
rnacentral:lncRNA from 1 species